GAGAAGCGUAUUAAGCUAAGACCACAUGCAUAGUAAAAGCAAACCAUAUGCAGAUACGUACGAAACAAGAAACAAAGACUCAAUCAUCUCAAUGAGUUGAAAUUUGAGAAAAAAAAAUGGUGCGGGAAUACUAGAAGCUUCCCACUUUGAAGCCUAAAUGAGUCCUCUGAUAUAUACCUUUCAGAGUAUUGUUUACUUGUCCGUUAAUUAUUUUCAAAGUAUUAACCCCAUGUCCGGUCGAGAAAUUUUUUUGCCUAAAGCAAAAAUAAAAGAUUGGCCUAUGAAAUUGAAGUGAGGACUUUCAGCCUAGAAAGUGGUACUUUACCACUGCACUGUAAGCGAUAUUUACGUUAUUAAUUCCCUUAAAUUGUUUAUGUAAUUUGGCGCUUAAAACUUUAGUUUUACCAGCUUUAAGUCAAGACCAGCCCUGAAUUUACCCCUUAUUGCAUAAAUUUACUAGAAACGCAGAUGAAUCUUUAUUCAAGGAUUGCAAAUUUAUGUUUCACCAUGUAUAUAUAACGUAUUGUGAUCCUUUGUACGAAGUGCUGGUGAAAAGAAAAUAGAGUGAAGCAAUCGAUAAAGGUAACUACAAGAAAACGUUUUAUUUUGAAACAGUAUUCUGUAAAGCUUUAUCAACAUUAUCUAGCGUUCGUGUAUCUUUUAACUAAUCAAAUUUCUAUAUCUGACGAAUUAUAUCGAUCAAUUGUACCGUGAAUUGUGUUUGUCUCCUUGAACAUGCAUGCGCAACUUGAAGUUAUUAUAAUUUGGAAUCAUAAGGAAAAGACAAAAGAAGAUUCAUGAUAUAGAAUUUGUAAUCAAAUGUUCAGGAUAAAUGAUGAAGACUUCACGCUUGUAAAAAUAUUUGUGUGUGUGAUGAAAGUAUAAACAUUCGAAAUGUACCAUAUUCCAGACUUCAUGCAUGCUUUCAUGCAUCUAUGUAUAUAUGUGUUUUGAUAUAAUUUAUCGUAUAAACAAUUGGAUUGUUUGUAACAUUCCAAUUGUAAGUUUGUAACCUAUAUAUUAUUCUAAGAAAAACUGUAAGUUAUCAAAGAAAAAACUAUCUGAUAACGUAUUGAGAUUGUAAAAGGACAUGUAUACUGUAAAGUAAGAUUAAGCACUAGUAUACUCAUCAUUUUAGAAAGUUAUAGGUUGUUAAUAAUUUUAUGUGAAACCAUUUAAUGGAAUAAAAUAUGCAGAAAAUUUAGUGUUGUUCUUUUUUUAUAUAUCAUCCGAGCGAAUAUCAUGAUUUUGAAGAAACUUCGUAGUCACGAAUCACGAUUCAAAGAUUAAAGCAUAUAGUCGAUAAUCACUCUGUAUAUAUAUAUGACGACGGAAAUAAUAAAUAACUCGAAGACAUGUAAGCUGAACUUAUCUUAAAGAUAUUAUAGGAAGUGUUUUUUCGAGCUGCCAAUGUGACUACAACACGUAAACAAAGUUUCCUCGAACAAAUUGACGACACCUUCUUAUUACGUGUUCUAUUAAUGUUUCACACUAAAUCAGAUGCUUAGAGCAUAAUUAUCCCAGUUUCUUAGAUGGGGUUUCACAGAAAAUAAGGCAAUUAAUUAAAUGGAAACAAAAUUAAAAGCAUAUAACCGAUCCUAAGUUAAGGGUUUUUGUAACCGAUCAUAGAAAAGUUUCUUAUAACACGUGUCAGCAACAUGUAUUUUUGGUUUUUUUUUGUUUUUUUUUCUCUCUUUUCUUUUCUUCCUUUCCUCUUCUCUCAUCCUCUCCCGUGUUCUCCGUCGACGAUGAGAAGGAGGGCGAGUAUGGUUACGUUUGCAAGGUAUCCUCUCGUUUCAUCGAUCUCAUAUCAUUUUGUUCUUUUGCUAUUAAGUCGAUCUGAUACAAGGAAAGAUUGGUGCGAGGAAGUAGAUUUGUUUUCAAUUACUAUGCAAUGACCUUGGUCCUUGAAUGAAUCUGUUGAUUUUGUCUUGGCUAAGCAACUCAAAUGCUAGUUUCUGAUGUGAUCUGAUACUUCUUAGUGGUUUGACAUUUGAUUUCUUGUUUUCGUGAUGAGAUUGGUGAUAUAUAUAAGCUUUUUCUGUGAUGGGGAAGAUCACUUACAUUGCUCCAUCUGGCCAAUAUUCCCUUAAGGAUACAGUGCUAGAGCUUGAAUUCCAGGGGGUUAAGAAGUCGUACAACAUGCUUCAGGUAACAUGACACAAGACGAGGCAGAUGUGAGCACACGAGUCACGGAGUUGGGAUUGGAAGAAUCACGGACUUGGAAGUGGAAGGGAUCACGUAAUCAUCUACACUCCUCUACAAGUAAUCAAAAAUAAAUAAAUUUUUUUUUUUUAGAAACCCAAAUUAAAAAACUACCAUUGUAGCUCAAAAAUUAUGUGAUUCUUAACUAAGAUCCUUAGCUAAAAUUUAUUAGUUAAAUAAUCAAUAAAGUGUACUUAAGAAACUUUAUGGGUUUCUAGGGAUAA